rfam:Babesia microti strain RI chromosome III, complete genome.
AGAGUUGUGAGCUUGGAGUUCUCCGUAUACAGACGGUUAUACAACAUAUGGGGGGGAAGGUCUGAGAUGUCACGUAUUUAUACCGAAUGGUACACUCAUGAAAUGGGUGAAUCACGAACCAGAAACGCUUGCAUCAAUAAAUCUUUCUUGCAAAUGAAAUUAUCGUGAUAGACAAGCACUACGAGUCAAAUCUCCAAGAAUGAUGAAACAUUCAACUCAAUUCAGACUAUUACAUAACCCU